AAUUAUGCUUAUAUCGUUUGUUUUUAUUUUGACGUUCACUUCUAUCGUCUCUCUGAAACUCCUAAACCAUUGUGACUCUGCGAUCAUCCAAGACCACCGACCUUCCACCUACCGGCAUCGUUUUACGGCAUCUCGGCCGGCACCGUCCUUCCUUCUUUCUUAAUCGUUUAGUUCUGAACUUUCUUGUGGAUAUAAAAGGACCUGCUUUAGCAUUUCUACCAGUGCUUGCAUUUGAAGGAAGAACCAGAAGAAAUAUACCUAACUUUGAGGUAUUUGUGUUUUUUUGCUUAAUUCUUCACCUUGCAGGCAGGCACAUUGCUUUAUGUGCGGGUUGUAAAAGCAAACCCUGGAAUGCAUCCUGAGCUGUCAUGCACUGAUGCCAGUGGGAAAGCAGGAGAGUUUGGUGCCCUAAAAGAAGGCUAUAUGUUCGAGUGUUAAACCGGUCUCUCAAGGAUCUCACCCACAUGUCCAGUACUUGAUACAUUAGGGAAGAAACUGUCUUUCGAGAUAGCAGUUGGCUUAAAUGGACGUGUUUGGGUCAAUGCCUCUUCUCCAUCAACAACUAUUGUCGUAGCUAAUGCUAUUAUAAACUCAGACAUUGAGUGGUGUACAGCAGAAAAUAAUGGCUGAAAAGCUGCUGCAGAGAGUCCAGUGACCAAGUUAACCGGCGAGUACUGUUGAUGAGACUACGACAAUAGCUAAGUGCAUGAAUGAUUUUCAACACCUUGGUUGUUUAAUGUAAGUUACAUGGCAUUUUAGAUAAAUGCGGAAAUUAACAUGGACCAAUAAAUUUGUUCAUUUUAGACCGAUGUCCUUUAUAGCAAUUAGAUUUAAUAGUUAAAGUAUUCAACGACCUAGAUUUUUGAAGGGCUAUUUGUAUGCUAACUUGUAAGGCCACUCAAAAGUUAUUUUCUUGACAGUUUUUCAAGAGUGCUGGAAUUUAUUUGUUGGCUACUGGCUACAUCAUCUAGAUUUUCUGGUCUUGAAGAUAUGUCUUUGUUUUAGGUUGCAAUGUUUUUUUUUGUUCUUUUUCUGUAUUUACAGUAUACUUUGCUGCGAGGUGUUUGGGCACAUCUAGUGGUUUAGUUUUUUUUUGUUACUUUCAUAGUUUUAGUUACACUUUUUAUUGAUGAAUUCUGUUUGUUUACAAAAAAUAGUAAUUGUAGUUUUAAGGCAAUGAAUACUGACCUUAGAAAGGAAUUAAAACUUCAAAUUAAAAAUUAAAAAAGCAAAAAUAAGGAACAAAAAUUUGUUGUUUCUAAUUGAUGUAUUACUAUUGAAUUGUAAUAUGGUGUCUCUUGUGAUGCCAUAUAUAUUCAAAAUUCUGAUUGAACCAUCCAACAACUCUUCUACAAAUUUCUCACCUUGGUGAGAAAUGGCCUUUUGUGUUGAUGACAUACUGAGAAGAUCUUCCAAUGAAACGUACAAAUCUUUAAGAAAUGAAAGGCCAGGUCUUGAUUUUGCAUAGCUUGUUGUAUUCUAGUGGAGUUGGGAUGAGCCUCAGAAGGAAAACUGUUUGAGCGAACAUGUGGAUUGUCUCAAUUUGAAGGAGCUGCAUGCUACAAUAAGUUGUUUUAAUAUAAGGUUCGAAUCUAGAUCCUAUGGUAUAGAAAAAUGUAUAAUAAUUCAAGGGGUAUUUAAGUUAAAUAUAAUUCAGAAAAUAAAAUGAUGACCAAAUUUGUAGCUUUUAGAUUAGAAAUGUUUUUGUACUGUAAAAAAUUAGGAAUGUGUUUGCACGA